rnacentral:ncRNA from 1 species
CGUAAAUGAUGGAUACUAAGUGCUGUGCGUAUCGACCCAUGCAGUGUUGUAGCUAACGCGUUAAGUAUCCCACCUGGGGAGUACGUUCGCAAGAAUGAAACUCAAAGGAAUUGACGGGGGACCGCACAAGAGGUGGAGCAUGUGGCUCAAUUCGAUGCAAAGCAAAGAACCUUACCAGGGCUUGACAUGCCAUGAAUCCUCCCGAAAGAGAGGAGUGCCUUCGCGAACACGGACAUAGGUGGUGCAUGGCUGUCGUCAUCUCAUGCCGUAAGGUGUUGGGUUAAGUCCCGCAAUGAGCGCAACCCUCGUGUUUAGGUGCCAGCAUUGAGUUUGGAACCCUAAACAGACUAUCGGUGAUAAGCCGGAGGAAGGUGAGGAUGACGUCAAGUCAUCAUUCCCCUUACGCCCUGGGCGACACACAUGCUACAAUGACUGGGACAAAGGGUCGUGACCCCGCGAGGGCAAGCUAACCUCAAAAACCCAGCCUCAGUUCAGAUUGCAGGUUCCAACUCGCCUGCAUGAAGCUAGAAUCACUAGUAAUCGUCGGUCAGCCAUACGGCGGUGAAUCCGUUCCCGGGCCUUGUACACACCGCUCGUCACACUAUGGGAGCUGGCCAUGCCCCAAGUCGUUACCUUAAAUACAAGGAGGGGGAUGCUAAAGGUUGGGAUAGUGACUGGAGUGAAGUCCUAACAAGGUAGCUGUACUGGAAGGUGUGGCUGGAUCACCUUCUUU